CACAGCUGAUCGAUCUCCGCCGCCACCCGACAUAGUAGAUCGAUCUCCGCCACCGCCCGAUCGCACGCCCGAUCCACCCCUACGCCCAGACCGCGGCGGAUCCAUCCCUGUGCCGCGCCGCGGCGGAUCCAUCCCUUCGCCAUCGCACUUGCAGGAGGCAUCGGUCUGCUAUUGGAUCGGUCAAGGACACGGGGCCGCGAUCCCGCGUGUCGUGUUCGCCGGCGAUCACGACGCCGAUCCGACGACGUCCACCUUCUGACCCCGAUCCCAAGGCUCGCUCUGCCCGCACCGCUCCCCGCGACGCCGCGCCCAGGGACAACAGCGGCGGGGCGGUUCUGUCUCCCUACCUCCUGCCAGAGCCCCCACCCCACCAUACGUAGAUCUGGCCGAGAGCCCCGCCGCCAACGAGGGCCACACCGGCGAUCUCGCGCAACCUACCUGCCUCCUGUUUCCUCUCCGUUCUCCUCCUUCUCUCUCCGACCCUUGUUUAUCCGCGGCCGCCCGAGCUCGCCCCGAUUCAUGGCCCUCUCCUUCCGCCAACUCUGGUCCAUCGUCGGUCGUCUGUGGUGCGAGCGUCGCGCCUCCUCUUCAACCUCCUCGAUCCGGGAUGCCCUGACUGCACUGCGCACAUGCGCCUCGCGAGCCAUGGCCGCCUUUUGCCGAGCAGCGGGAUUGACGUCUGACCGCCACCACGACCGGCCUCUUGCGAAGAUCCCGGUCGCCGUCUCCUGUGCCUUUGGACCUUGGGAGCGACUGGGCGAUUAUAUGCCAGCAUAUGUGCAGGACGAUGGGAAGAUGAGCUAGACGCCAAAAGCAAUAUUGUAACACCAUGCGUGAGGAACAUGAUUCUGCCAAUAUUUAAGCAUUAUACUUGCUAACACUGAGAGCUUAAUUAUCUUUGAUGCAACCAGUCCGUCCAAGCAUGCAAAUAGUUGAUUUGGGAUGUAGAGAUUAAAGAACAGCAGGACGUCAGGUUCAGAAUUGCCUUGGCAUCUUCCAGUGUGGCGACGAUGUUGAUUGUCGGGAUUUGAAGAUAAGUGUGCUCCAUACCAUGGCUAAGCCUGUCGGUUUCGCACAGUGGCUACACGACACCUCAUGGACCCGAUGUGAUGGACAAGUAAGCCAUCCACAUGAAGUCGGCGGCAGCAAGGGUGUGGGGCGUCGGGAGGAGCAUCUGGGUUGAAGGUUCUGGCCCUCGCCAUUGAAACUACCGUGGUCGUCGCCAAGUACAUCUGGGUUCGGCUACAGAUGCCAUCCAUCAACUCCUGUUUUAAAGUGUGCUUGGGAAGGUGGAGCUGCGAGGAAACAAGACAGGUGGACAAUGCGACAGGAAGCAAGAAUGAAUUUCUAAUCAAUCUACUGUCUCCCUUGAGUUGGGGUGAACGUACCGACGCACCAUGUUGUGUUUAUUGAUCUGGAAUCCUAGAGGAUCACCCACCCUCGUAAUUCAAUACUGAGAUGAUCUCCAUAAUUUCUCAAAUGUGUUUUAUUAAAUUGGAUUCCUGUAAUUAUCCUUGCUCUAAUUUGAUAGUUUUACCCUCCCGAGCAUGUUGGGCUUCCAUAAAAACAUGAAUAUUUCUCAGCCAUUUUAUUGAAAAUGUAGUCGUAUGCUUUCACAUUGACUCUGGAUAUUCUCCUAAACGAAGCUCAAGAACAAUUGAUUUUAUCGGCAAUAGGAGGCUCUUAUCAGUCGCCAUCAAUUGCCUCAACCAGUGCCGCGUCCAGGUACACACAUUGCUUCAUCACCUGUGCUAUCUCAUCGUCUAUACAAUAUAUCCAUGGGUGACCCCUGUACUCACCUCAUCUCCAGAUUAGAACAUAAGUGUUCGUAGGAGGGUAGGAUCUAGGCAACUGCAGUACUGAUUGUCUAGCUAGGCAACAAAGUCGACGGGGCAAAUAACAUAAUCUUCAGAUUAAGUUAUAUUCGAAAGUCAUUACGAUUUUCAUGAUUGCCAGUGGUAAAACAAGCAUAUAUUUCUUUUGAUUAUUGACAUAGCACAGCUUAGUAGAGUGGGCCAACCAACACUGGGUUUGGGAGGUCAUUUAAUAGGAAACACUUCGCUGCAAGUUUCUUCACCACUGAAAACAAUUCAUCACAAGACUUUGUAUAUGCUGGCUGUCAUGCAUGUACAUCUGUAACUAAAUAAUUACAGGAUGCUGUGUGCUUGUUCCAUGUCCAGCAGUAAAGAUGUUUGAAGUUUUGUACCAGUUUCCAAUAGAUCAUUUCCUACAACAAUAUUUGUUUUGCAAUCCAAACAAGUAAAUGUCUUAAGAAGUAGAUGUUUCUGCAUAUCAACACACCAUUCAAGUUAUUUACAGAAUGAUUUUCUUGGAGCGAUCAUAAUUUCACGUAUGUUUACAUCAUUAUUCAUGUGUGGGUUGUAUUGUGUUUUCUUUCGUGGGGUGCCGGACGCGCUACUGAUGGUACUAGCAUGUUUGGGCUGGGGAGACAGAGAUGGUAUGCGGAGUAAGAAGAGUGAUUUAAGGGGAGAGAAAUCCUAACAGGGGUUGGUGGAGCAGAAGAGGGCGAAGGAAGACUUGUGGGGAGCUGCGAGGAAUAGAUUUUGGGGUAUGUUACUGUUUUAUGUGUGAUAUCAGUUCAUAAUUUACUGUAGUAGUCAGUUCUCUACUUUCUAUGUACUAGGUUAGUUCUCUACUUUCUAUGUACUAGGUUAAUUCUAUUUGCUAGCCUUAAGUGUUUUUUCUAUACCAACUAAAUAUUGUGAAAGCAACCCUGAAACAUACACACAUCUACUAAAUGCAAAGUUGUUUCUCUGUUGGUACAAACAAUCAUGUAGAUCAAUGCAUGUAGUUUCUUUUUGCACACAACAUACUCUCAAGUAGUGCCGAAAUUAGAAUCUCAAUCCCUGUCCAUUAUACAAGAUGCAAAAGAGUUCAGAAUAAGUUAUUCAUCAUCAUAUUCACGCAUUUUUUGUUGUAAUAUAUAUUUUGUAUUUGUGUACAGUUGGACACAUUACACAUACAUACAGUAUGUCUGACUUAUGCAGAAGAAAAGCAACCCUUCAUAUAAAUUAUUUGCAUGCUCAUAGUUAUGAACUUAAUAGACUUUGCCUGGCAUUCAUAACCAUUAUACUUCCUCCUGCCCAAAUUUGUUGUCCUAUGUAAUUGUGUUUGACUUUGCGCCUACCGCUGGUAGCUGGAAAUUAGAUACAAUAAUAAUCAGUUUCCUUGCUAGAUUUGUUUCCUUAUAGGAUAUCCUGCUGAUUUGAUCUAUUUUUGGCUAGAGCACAUGGGAUCAAACCAGAGGUAAUCAAUUUUCUAUGUUCACCUGAUUAGUUAUAAGGAAUUUAUUACCUCUGUUUUAUUUCCAGGAUACCCAAAGCAGUGGUAACAUUUUUUAUGGCUUUGAAAAGGUAUUCUCAUGUCUAAAUACUAGAAUUGUUUGUUCAUUACUAAAUUGUUAAUGAGGGGUCCAUGCAGUGCUUUCAGUGGAGACACUAGACCAUCUGAUGUUCAUGUAGACAUUUCUAUUCAAACUUUCAAAGUGAUUGUUUUCUUUUUGUGUGUACACACCGUUGUUUGUGUGCAUCCAAUAUAAAACUUGCUAUGAAUUUGCACCACCUACACCCUUUUUUCAUGUUUUAGUCUAUAUGAAUUACCCACUUUAUAUACCACAAAAAUAAAUUACCCACUUUAUAAUAACUCACAUGUUAAUUAAAAGGAAAAAUAUCUGAACCAUAGGCACUAUAAGUUAAGUUGUUCAGCUAAAAUUUAACAAAGAGAUAUUUGAUUACAUGGAACUCUAAUGUUUCUGCAGUGUUGUAAUUAUAUCGUCUCAGGUGUUGUUGUACGUUCCUUGUAUCAUGUUGACUUACUCCUUGAUCAAUAGGGAUGCGGAUACAAAAUUCCGUUUUCCACUACUUAUAUUAUCCUCAUUGGACCUUAAGCUAUAAUCAUCGGCUGUUGUUGUGUGUCUGCCUGCCUGGCAAUGUUUCACCUGUAUUUUUGACCUAUUGUUGACUUAAUUGGAACCUGAGAAAGAAUUAUUUUACAUGUUAGAGUACUCUCAUAUGUUCGGAGUCAUAAAACUAGCUGAGAUAAUGAAAUAAUGCCAGGUAAUUGCUCGUGGUUUCAAGGUUGCGCAAAGGAGGGGAGGCAUGGUUCAAGGUCGUCUUCUGGCACUGGUUUGCCAGCUAGGUCCUCGACAACAUUUGCGCCUCGGAUUUUUAGUUCUGUUGUUAUUCCCAAAGAAACAUCGUAGUUCUUUUGGAUGGUCAAAGAUUAUUCAGUUACUGAAAUACUUCUACGUGUUUAGGUGCAGACAUCACAGGUGAACUACAUCUUUCUAUCUAAAUUUCUUAUGUCAAGAGCUGGGAGUAUUUGAAACAUCUAAAUUGGUUAUCUCAACACUAUAAUAGAAAAUACUAUCUCUGAAAUAAUAACAAAACACCGUGAUAAACUAGGCACUGGAGCCAUAUUGACACAGACCCAUGAUCAAUGAUACAUGAGCCAAGUCUUGAUACACGUGAACUACUUAUAGCCACCCAUUGAGUACAUGACUUCUUCAAUCUCCUUUUCUUUUGUUUUCCAGGGCAGAUAUUCCACCAUGCAUUUUAUUUGGCCAUACUUAACCAAGUUGAUUCAUAUCAUUAAGUAUCUUUUGGUUUUCUUCUAGUUUAUUAGGCAUGGACACAGACAAAAAUUCUGAAGCUUCAAUAAUUUGGGUGGUCUAAUAGUUCCUGUAUAGCUUGAUGUCGUAUCAGGUGUAAUAUUUUGUUGUUGCUUGAUGUUGUAUCAAUACAAGCUAGGGUCAACAAGGAAGAAAGGGGUUGACACAUGGAGAAGCGGGAGCAUAAAUUUCAAAAGGUACUGAACAUGUGUAUGGAUUACACCGGUGAGUGAAUGGUGUGGCACAUUGAGUCAGAGAGGAGUAGUUGCUUGUCUGGUAUGAAAAAUAGUUUAUUUCUCGAUUAGAUUAAGGCCAAACUUAUCUUCAACAUGUGUGCUCUUUCAUCACCAUUUUAGAAGAGGUUCAAUGCAAAAUCCUCAGAUUGCCAAAUUUUACUUCAUUGGAAGCACUUUAUCAAUACGUUUGUAACAAUUCUCAGAUUCCAUGAAACAUAUUCGUGGCACCAAAUUUAACUAAAGAAUAAAGCAAUCUCAAUUUUGUUCUAUAACAAAUUAAAGCAUUCUCCUGUCCUAUGAGAAUAGAAAACAUAUACUCCAAUUGAAGGAAGGAGUACAAAGUUGAGUCAUUUUUUAGUCACUUUUUGUGGGAUGGAGGGAGUACUACAUUGAAGUGAUUGCCAAUUCAAGGAAUCAUUUUCUAUGGUCAGUCCAAACAAACAAAAUUUAACCAUAUAUAUGGAAACAAUAUUUAGUUGCCAUAGAAGUAAUUUGACCCGAAACAGUUACCAUCCAAAAAAGGAAGUGAAAAAACCAUAUGAAGGAAACUAAAGUUCCAAAAGCAAGGAGUAUCAACAUUUGAAACAAAAUAUAUUUUCAUACAAAAGUAAUUUAUAUCUAUGGAAGCAAUUUUUUGUUCAUCACUAAUCUGUAUCAAUAUGUGUUGUGUUCUCUUUUAGAGAAGUGAACUCUGAAAUCCCUCCUCAUUCCAAAGAAUGAAAUUCCGAGGCUGAAAGUACAAAUUUGUUACGACAUGGCUGACUUAGAGAAAAAAUGGGCGUAUUUGGAGCCGGAUGGAAACAUGGGCAGAUUUGGAGCAGUGUGAAGACGGUGCACGCUGGUGUUGCAAUGACCAAAAGAGCCAAAGUGAAAGAAGAGAUGGAAUGGCAAUGACGCAACCUUGUCGUGUGAUUCGUGUAUGUAUAUUUGAGGUCCGUAGGAAAAUAUGUAUUAGUGAGAUAAAGUGAUGGAGAUGCAUCUUAGGCAGAAAUGGAAGCAGAGCCCAGAGAUAAAUAGAGAACUAUUAAUUUGUGAAUGAACAUGUAGUGGAAAGAAUGUUUUCUUGUUCA